AUACGUAGGUGGCAAGCGUUAGUCCGGAUUUAUUGGGCGUAAAGCGAGUGCAGGCGGUCUUUUAAGUCUGAUGUGAAAGCCUUCGGCUUAACCGAAGAAGGGCGUCGGAAACUGGGAGACUUGAGUGCAGAAGAGGACAGUGGAACUCCAUGUGUAGCGGUGAAAUGCGUAGAUAUAUGGAAGAACACCAGUGGCGAAGGCGGCUGUCUGGUCUGUAACUGACGCUGAGGCUCGAAAGUAUGGGUAGC
rnacentral:rRNA from 1 species